rnacentral:rRNA from 1 species
UACGUAGGGAGCAAGCGUUUGUCCGGAAUCAUUGUGCGUAAAGCGCGUGUAGGCGGCUUGAUAAGUCUGCUCUGAAAGCCCGGGGCUCAACCCUGGGAGGCGGGUGGAUACUGUCGAGCUCGAGUCCGGAAGAGGCGAGUGGAAUUCCUGGUGUAGCGGUGAAAUGCGCAGAUAUCAGGAGGAACACCAAUGGCGAAGGCAGCUCGCUGGGACGGUACUGACGCUGGAGGCGCGAAAGCGUGGGGAGCAAACAGG